CCCUUAGAUGUUCUGGGCCGCACGCGCGCUACACUGACAGAGCCAGCGAGUUUUUUUCCUUGGCCGGAAGGUCUGGGUAAUCUUGUGAAACUCUGUCGUGCUGGGGAUAGAGCAUUGCAAUUAUUGCUCUUCAACGAGGAAUACCUAGUAAGCGUGAGUCAUCAGCUCGCGUUGAUUACGUCCCUGCCCUUUGUACACACCGCCCGUCGCUACUACCGAUUGAAUGGCUUAGUGAGGUCUUGGGAUUGGCUUCGGGGAGCCGGCAACGGCACCCUGUUGCUGAGAACUUGAUCAAACUUGGUCAUUUAGAGGAAGUAAAAGUCGUAACA
rnacentral:rRNA from 1 species